AUGAGGUUGCGGGAUGAACACAGCGAAGAAAUAGAUGAAGAUCUCUUUUCCUUGGCAUGUGAACCAGAUCGGAGAGUCAGAAAAUACUCAUCAUGCAUAGUGAAUGGUAUUAGAUAUAGCACUGUUGACCGUGAUAGCAACAAGAAAACACAGAACAGUGGAGUCAUGGCCGAAGGUGAACAUGCCAGUAAGGUCAUUGAUUUUUAUGGAACCUUGAAAGAGAUCAUCCAGUUGGACUAUAACUCCAACGAUAACUUGGACGGCAGACACAAAGUAUGGGAAAAUUGGCAAGUUGUGCAAACAUUUGACCAUAGGCAUCUCUUUAAUAUUAGUGAAACUGAGGGUGCACCUUUUACUGGUCCUGCAUAUCAAGAGGAGGAGUGUUGUGAUGAGGAGGGUACGAGAACGUCGGUUUCUAAACAUACAUCUGAGAAGCCUUUGCAUAGAGACAAUGAGCAAGGCAUUAUUUUUGAAGCUGAUGUAAUUGCACGCUUGAUGAAAGAAAAGAACACAGAAGUGUAUGAAGGUGGCAAUGAAGAUGAAGAUGAUACAGGAAUGGAGUAUUGCAGCGAAGACGAAGGAGGCGGCAUGAUGGAUGUUGACAGCGAUGAUGAGUAG
rnacentral:rRNA from 1 species